rnacentral:rRNA from 1 species
AUGAACGCUGGCGGCGUGCCUAAUACAUGCAAGUCGAGCGAACGGACGAGAAGCUUGCUUCUCUGAUGUUAGCGGCGGACGGGUGAGUAACACGUGGAUAACCUACCUAUAAGACUGGGAUAACUUCGGGAAACCGGAGCUAAUACCGGAUGAUAUUUUGAACCGCAUGGUUCAAAAGUGAAAGACGGUCUUGCUGUCACUUAUAGAUGGAUCCGCGCUGCAUUAGCUAGUUGGUAAGGUAACGGCUUACCAAGGCAACGAUGCAUAGCCGACCUGAGAGGGUGAUCGGCCACACUGGAACUGAGACACGGUCCAGACUACUACGGGAGGCAGCAGUAGGGAAUCUUCCGCAAUGGGCGAAAGCCUGACGGAGCAACGCCGCGUGAGUGAUGAAGGUCUUCGGAUCGUAAAACUCUGUUAUUAGGGAAGAACAUAUGUGUAAGUAACUGUGCACAUCUUGACGGUACCUAAUCAGAAAGCCACGGCUAACUACAUG